rnacentral:lncRNA from 1 species
CAGUCAAAACAGCACCUAAAAAGCUUAUGGCCAAUAGGUUCACUUUAUUUUGUAUGAGGUUCCCUCCCCUUUCUUUUAAUUUUACCCUCUGCUUUUUAUGCUUUAGCUUUGAUCAUGAUUACGCUUGUCCACCACCAUAUCUGCUAUCCCCUUCACCCUGGUCUUCCUUAACUACGGAGUUCCAACACUUCUCUAUAAACACCAACUCAUCCAAGAUCUGACGGUUUCGUGUAGGAAGGAGACAUGGGAAAGAAAGGGAUUGUUUCAACACUUCCUCUGUAAGUUUGCUUUAAGUUUUUUCUUAUGUUCCUUCAAUGUUUGAAGUUCCGAUUUCAUUGCUACCUGCUGCUUUGAGCUGCAACAAGCUGUCAGCCCCUUCUAAUUGGGGAAAAAGCAAGUAAAGAAGUGAAGAGCUUAAUUCACACCAAAGUCAAAACACAUUCACUCAAAUCAUAUGAGUUUCAUUACAUUAGAAAAUCAGGAUAGAAAACCACAAAAAUAACUUAUUCUAUACCGCCUGCACACCCGACAACAUUAUAUAAGGUUAAUCCUCCUUUACUAUUUCUCUUUUUUUUUCUUCCUCUCUAUCUUUUAUCAUAUUUAGGCAAGUUGCCUAUGUAUAAUUACACUCUAAUGACUUUAUAAAGUAGGCUCUGUACUAGAAUACAAAUCAAGGACAAAAACUUGAUUAAAAGGAUGGAAGAGACACCCGAAACCGCUCGGAUGAGAUGACAAAAAGAAGAAUGGCACACACUAACAAGCACACACUGGUUUUAAUGUGAGUAUUAAGGUAGUACUCUCUAGUAGGAAAAAAUAAAUAAAGGAAAUUAAUGAAACUCAGGCCAUCUUAUUGGAUGUGUCUGAGAAGCUAGAAUGCACCAAAAACAUUCUAAGCCAAGGAACUGGGAGUGCAGAUCAUUAGAUGCCUUGUUGUAAAAUUCCAGGCCAAGAUGGCUGCAACCCUAGGACAAAAAGGGAAAAAAAAGAGAUGGAAACUCAAUAUGAGCUAUAUGUUGCUCAGGGAAACAAAUUAUGAGGUAUACAUCUAUACGGACUUCAGACCAAUGUUGAUUUCAUUAUAAGAGAUGAUCAGAGGUUAUUUAUAGACUCUGGAGGAGGACUCGUUUGCAAGGUGGUGGUUGUGAAUGAUUAUUUCCCGGAUUAGGAGAAGGGGACUCCAUUCCAAGUGUCUUAAGUAGGAAGUUCCUUUCCUGAAAAAUGAAACAAAAACAUGCCAGUCAGUCUUGUAUUAAAGUUUCAUAUAUUGUGCCUAUAUGUAUGUAUGCUUAGAUUUCUAUGCUAAAUUAGAAAAAGGGAAACAAGAAUACAAGCAAAGAUAGUGCAGUAACUCUAUUUUGAGCUUCACAUGCCCACAUCUUUAGAGCCAAAGAAUACAAUAAAUAAGGAAUGAAAAGGAUGAAUUUUAUGAGUAGAUGGAAUUGUAAGAGCCUAAAACCAGAGACUGAAUCAGUAUUACCACUUGACCAUGAAUAAAACCCUAUAUAUAAAAAAGUUUUGGUUAAAAAGAUCUUUUCCUUGGGAAAACUACCAUCCAGACUAUUUACGUAGGUGGAUGGAGGAAAGUAAGUUUGCUUUUAGUAACUUAUCUUUUACUGUUAAGGAACACUACGAUUAAAGGCAGUGACCAGGAUUCUACCUGGCCUCAAUUAACAUCUAAGCAACUAUUCACAGAAACUUUGUUAAAUGCAGAAAAAGUGGAUAGCUACCAAUAAUGAGAAAUAUUUACGAGUGAAGAAGAAGCAGGGAAAGCCUAUAACAAAAUUAAACGUGAGGAGAUAUGUCAGACAUAGAUUGAUGGAACCAACAGUUCAAGAUAACUUACACUUUCUGAAAAAUUUGGACUGGGAAUCCCUGCUGCCAGAGAUCUGAAAAGUGGGGUAACUUGGAUUGGGGAACUGAACUCUAUGCUUGAUGAGGUAGAAGCAACUAUAUUAUUUGUAAUGUCGUCACACGAUGGGAUUAUCUCGACUGUGGUAACAUUAAGACAUUUCAUCAGAAACAUUCUUAUUUAUCCACUUUAUGGUCAUAAACAAGGUAUUCCUAGGCCUUCAUACCAGAUAUAGAAUUUCAUUACCUUGAUUAGUGUUUGCACCCGAAACAGCUCUUUUCUCCUCACUCCCGCAAUUCUGCUCUCCGAUAUGACUUGAAGGUAGAUCCUGGUGCAGUUCAUCUAUCUUACCUUGGGCUUCUUCUCCUGUUUCCCCAGCUGGAUGAGGCAUCAGUGUCGACCCUGUACUGUAUUCCGAGCUGGCUGGCGAUGCCUCGUACAGAUCAGGUUGCCUGAAACAUAUAAAUCAUGAGUUAGUGUUAACCAAGAAAACUUACUAAAAUCUGUAUUUAAGUCAACUGAUUUUUCUAUUACCUCCAAGACGGUCGACUUCCCUCAUUACUACUCCUUAAAUCCUCUAGCAAGUCUUUGAAAUCUUCAAGUUGCAAAUCAAUAUCAGACAUUGUAUAUCUCAGGAUGUCAUUUUCUUUACUCUGAUUCAAAAAGUCUUGGAGCAUCUGAAUAUAACAUAGGAUGAAGGUUAGGGACAUAGUACAAUGCACAGCUCGGACUGUUAGCCGGUUUCCCCAAAAUAUUUAAGAUUUAGCACUUUACCAAUUGUGAGAUAUCAUGUUGAAAACACAAAAAAACAUAUAGAAAAUAACAAAAUCACUUCUCACCUUCCAAGCAUUUUCCAGACUUUGUUCUGUGUUGUCCGAGUUAACUUUCAAUGCAAGUGAGCUGAGUAGCUCUGCUUGCUGCAUCAAAGCAUUUAUCUUUGGAUCAUCCUUUCUGAGAAAUGUUCCUCGAGUGCUAUUAUCCUGAGCUGCUAAUGAAUAAUGGGGGAAGAGAACAUAAGUGUAUAUUAUGAAGAAGUUUAAAGGAGAGGAGAAAAUAGGACAGUUUUUGGCUAAUGCAAAAACUUCUCUUUGCAGGUUUGACAACAGAAACAUAGGUGCCAAUGCCAAGAAUUAUCAGCUCGAGGUGAUUUACCGUCGCUCGAAACCUCCUUAACAUUGUUGACUUGAGAUUGAACCAUGACAUUUUUAGCAUUG